CCACCCCAACCGGAAUUCUGUAACCAGUUGAGGAAUUCUGCAAUUAUUCACAAAAUGUGCUGAAAUUUCACCUCAAGAAACGUAAUCUUGCUAUAUAUGGCAAGGUAAGGGUGAACCUGAAGGGUGGAUGUGUUUCCAUUUUUUAAUGUUUUACGCAUAGCCAUCUGACCACUUUUUAUUGGGUGACAUAUCAUAUGAGCACUUUCGUGUAGGCUUGGAAAAACUAUAGCCAGAGGUAAGGCUGGAAAAUGCCAUAAGAAUUAAGGGUGCUGAAAAUGGAUGCUAGAGAGUCCAAAAGGAGAGAUGGCAUACAGCUGUAGGUUUGAGAUGGGAGAAAAUAUAUGUGAAUAUUUAUACACAAAAGCCGUUGGGGAGGGCUGAGUCUUGCCUCGAGUAUCUGUGCAGAGGAGAGGGAGCAAACAGACACCAGCAAAGCAUUCCUGUAACACGAUGUGCUACACAAGUUCCCAGUAGCGACAGACGCCUAAAGGAGCCUGUUUGUGUGCUGUGUGGCCACGUUCUGCUGUGA
rnacentral:lncRNA from 1 species